rnacentral:rRNA from 1 species
AGAGUUUGAUCCUGGCUCAGAGUGAACGCUGGCGGCAGGCCUAAUACAUGCAAGUCGAACGGCAGCACAGCAGAGCUUGCUCUGUGGGUGGCGAGUGGCGGACGGGUGAGGAAUACAUGGGAAUCUGCCCAGUCGUGGGGGAUAACGUAGGGAAACUUACGCUAAUACCGCAUGCGCCCUUCGGGGGAAAGCCGGGGACCUUCGGGCCUGGCGCGAUUGGAUGAGCCCAUGUCGGAUUAGCUAGUUGGCGGGGUAACGGCCCACCAAGGCGACGAUCCGUAGCUGGUCUGAGAGGAUGAUCAGCCACACUGGAACUGAGACACGGUCCAGACUCCUACGGGAGGCAGCAGUAGGGAAUAUUGGACAAUGGGCGCAAGCCUGAUCCAGCCAUGCCGCGUGAGUGAAGAAGGCCUUCGGGUUGUAAAGCUCUUUUGUCCGGAAAGAAAAGCUUCGGGUUGAUACCCUGGAGUCCUGACGGUACCGGAAGAAUAAGCACCGGCUAACUUCGUGCCAGCAGCCGCGGUAAUACGAAGGGUGCAAGCGUUACUCGGAAUUACUGGGCGUAAAGCGUGCGUAGGUGGUUUGUUAAGUCUGAUGUGAAAGCCCUGGGCUCAACCUGGGAAUGGCAUUGGAUACUGGCAGGCUAGAGUGCGGUAGAGGGUAGUGGAAUUCCCGGUGUAGCAGUGAAAUGCGUAGAGAUCGGGAGGAACAUCUGUGGCGAAGGCGACUACCUGGACCAGCACUGACACUGAGGCACGAAAGCGUGGGGGAGCAAACAGGAUUAGAUACCCUGGUAGUCC